UACGUAGGGGGCUAGCGUUGUCCGGAAUCAUUGGGCGUAAAGCGCGCGUAGGCGGCCGGUAAGUCCGUUGUGAAAGUCAAAGGCUCAACCUUUGAAAGCCGAUGGAUACUGCCGGGCUAGAGUCCGGAAGAGGCGAGUGGAAUUCCUGGUGUAGCGGUGGAAUGCGCAGAUAUCAGGAGGAACACCGAUAGCGAAGGCAGCUCGCUGGGACGGUACUGACGCUGAGGCGCGAAAGCGUGGGGAGCGAACAGG
rnacentral:rRNA from 1 species